UACAGAGGCCCCAAGCGUUACUGAGAAUCACUGGGUUUAAAGGGCGCGUAGGCGGCCACGCACGUCCGUUGUGAAAUCGCCCGGCUCAACUGGGCGGGGUCAGCGGAUACGGUGUGGCUCGAGCAAGCUAGGGGGCAAUGGAAUUCCCGGUGUAGUGGUGGAAUGCGUAGAUAUCGGGAGGAACACCAGUGGCGAAAGCGGCUCACUGGACCACAACUGACGCUGAGGCGCGAAAGCUAGGGGAGCAAACAGG
rnacentral:rRNA from 1 species